rnacentral:rRNA from 1 species
UAAUACGGAGGGGGUUAGCGUUGUUCGGAAUUACUGGGCGUAAAGCGCACGUAGGCGGAUUAGAAAGUUGGGGGUGAAAUCCCGGGGCUCAACCCCGGAACUGCCUCCAAAACUGCUAGUCUAGAGUUCGAGAGAGGUGAGUGGAAUUCCGAGUGUAGAGGUGAAAUUCGUAGAUAUUCGGAGGAACACCAGUGGCGAAGGCGGCUCACUGGCUCGAUACUGACGCUGAGGUGCGAAAGUGUGGGGAGCAAACAGGAUUAGAUACCCUGGUAGUCCACACCGUAAACGAUGAAUGCCAGUCGUCGGGUAGUAUACUAUUCGGUGACACACCUAACGGAUUAAGCAUUCCGCCUGGGGAGUACGGUCGCAAGAUUAAAACUCAAA